rnacentral:rRNA from 1 species
GCUGCAUGGCUGUAGUCAGCUUAAGUCGUGAGAUUUUGGGUUAAGUCGCGCAUCGGGGGCAACCCUCGCCCAUUUUUCCCCUUUUUCAGUUGGGAAUUUUAGGGGGAUUUCCGGAGAUAAGCCGUGAAGAAGGUGGGGAAGAAGCCUAGUCCUCAUGGCCCAUUCUGGGUGGGGUACACAAUUGCUACAAUGAGGGUGACAAUUUGCAGCGAAGGGGAAGAGUCCGCCUAAUCCCCAAAAGCCGUCUGAGAUCAGAUUGUACUCUACCCCCCGUGGUCAUGAAGGGGGAAUUGGCAGGAAUUUAGGAUGAGCAUAUUCCUGCGAAACAGUUCCCGUCCUCCGUACCCAAAGCCCGUUACAACCAUGGGGGCUUUGGUUUACCUCGAAGGGGGGGCG